rnacentral:rRNA from 1 species
UGGGGAAUAUUGCACAAUGGGCGCAAGCCUGAUGCAGCCAUGCCGCGUGUGUGAAGAAGGCCUUCGGGUUGUAAAGCACUUUCAGCGGGGAGGAAGGCGAUAAGGUUAAUAACCUUGUCGAUUGACGUUACCCGCAGAAGAAGCACCGGCUAACUCCGUGCCAGCAGCCGCGGUAAUACGGAGGGUGCAAGCGUUCAUCGGAAUUACUGGGCGUAAAGCGCACGCAGGCGGGCUGUCAAGUCGGAUGUGAAAUCCCCGGGCUUAACCUGGGAAAUGCAUUCGAAACUGGCAGGCUAGAGUCUUGUAGAGGGGGGUAGAAUUCCAGGUGUAGCGGUGAAAUGCGUAGAGAUCUGGAGGAAUACCGGUGGCGAAGGCGGCCCCCUGGACAAAGACUGACGCUCAGGUGCGAAAGCGUGGGGAGCAAACAGG